GUCAAAAAUCUCUCUCAAAUGUGCAAUUCGUCAUUAACUUCUCAUUAUAUCUUGUCUGCACAGCUAUAUUGCUUAUUUAACACGUCUUGGUUUUUGUGUAUUUGAGCGAGGACUGUCGUAUUAUCCGAUACUAUCUGAUUGAACGCUCGCAGCGUAUUUGCUUAGUAUUAUCGUGACUCGAUGGUAUUAUCCAGCCAAACAAAGUAAAAUAAUGAAAAAUAGAGUAUCAUCGAUAACUUCAUUUAGAAAACAAAAGUAUCGUUUAUUGGAACUUAAUUACUAAAACGUGGAUCGGGUUAUAUUCCGUUCCAUUAUAGUUCAUGUUAUUACAGUAUUUCCUUCCAUGCUAAGAUGUUGGAAAAUCAUCCUUUCAUUGUACAACAAACUGUUCUAUUUUGUUACGUCAAUGACCGCAUUAUUAAAGAAUGUAUCGUAUGACUAACUUUUUAUAGCCAAUAACAUCUUCGUCAUAUUUAAUAUAACGGUUAUAAAAGACCAGUCUGCAACAAACGCGGGGCAUUGCGUUGUAAAAACCAUAACAGCCGCUCCAACCGAGGUGCAUAUGUGACUCACUAAAAUGUAUGGAAUAAUCUUUUGGUUAGUCGCAUUCGAAGUUCUGAGUCUCCAUGAAGUAUCUUGUGACGCGUUUUGUGAUGAAGUGUUGCCAGGUGAUUUGAAUAUUACGGGAGGCUGGAGAUUCCAUAAAGAAAAUUGGAAGGCUACGUCACAGAGUGUAGAGCGCAUUGAACUCACUGGUGUUACCUCAACAGAAUGUGCUUACGCAUGUGUAGAGCAGAGCAACAUCAAUUGCACUCACUUUGAAUUUGAUGACGUAGGCUAUUGUCGACUGAUCGAUUCUCUUACCGUUACAUCUGUGAAUGUUGAUAACAGUGAUAUCUUUCAUCUAUAUUCGAGAUGUACAUUUGCA